rnacentral:lncRNA from 1 species
GUCAAUACCUUUCUGUUUACAUCGUUCACAUCGUAUACAUCGCGAUGUUGACAAUAUUGUGUCAACAUCGUGUUUACAUUGUAUAUAUAGUGUCUACAUCUUUCUGUUUACAUCGUUCACAUCGUAUACAUCGUAAUGUUAACAAUAUAGUGUCAAAAUCUUGUUGUUGUUGUAUAUACAUUUUUUUUCGUUCUUUUUUUUUUAAAAUAAG